CCUACGGGAGGCAGCAGUGGGGAAUAUUGGGCAAUGGGCGCAAGCCUGACCCAGCAACGCCGCGUGAAGGAAGAAGGCUUUCGGGGUGUAAACUUCUUUUCGCAGGGACGAAACCAGUGACGGUCCCUCAGGAAUGCGCCACGGCUAACUACGUGCCAGCAGCCGCUGUAAUACGGAGGGGGCGAGCGUUCGCCGGAUUUACUGGGUGUAAAGGUCGUGUAGGCGGGACUGUAAGUCAGAUGUGAAAACCACGGGCUCAACCUGCUGCCUGCAGUUGAAACUGUAGUUCUUGAGUGCGGGAGAGGUAGACGGAAUUCCUAGUGUAGCGGUGAAAUGCGUAGAUAUCAGGAGGAACACCAGUGGCGAAGGCGGUUUGCUGGACAGCAACUGACGCUGAGGCGCGAAAGCGUGGGGAGCAAACAGGAUUAGAUACCCGAGUAGUC
rnacentral:rRNA from 1 species